UGUGCCAAAUAAAGGCAUUUUCAAACAAGAUAGUUCGUGUAAAAAAUAUCGUCUCAGAAUGAAUUUAAACAAACCAACAUCCAUGGUGAUCACCAAAAAAUGAACAUUACCAUAAAGUUGAUAAUUAAUGAUCAAUAGAAAGAUUUCAACACUACAAAUAUAUAGACACAAUAAUAAAUUAAACUGCUGAACAAUUACAUACAAUAAAAUCUAGAAUUUAAAUAGCCGGAAACUCUUUCAUCAGGUUUCAGAAAUUCUUGUGCAGGAAGGCAAAGACUAGCGGUGCUAUCGACGCAUUUGUCAACCUCCUUAGCUAAUAAAAUUGCAAAAGUCGAGGAUCUCCAUCGCGUGAGCAAAGGAAAAGAAAUAUAAAAGACCAACAGACUGUAUACUUCGUACAUGUUGUCAGAGAACGGAAAAAUCCAGAGAAAACAAAGUCAGGGACGAAGAAAAGAACCUCCUUUGCUGGAAAAAACCUUAGAUAAUGGUUUGAAACGUCAUCGAGCGAACUAUUUUUUGGUAGAAAGGAAAAUACGCUUACCGUUCUUGAUGGGCCGCCCGGCGAUAUUGGCAUAUUUGUAUUUUAAGCUGCAAAUAAAAAUUGAUAUUAUUUUGAUGCCAGAGAAAUUGAAUUUGUGUUAAAUGAAAUAGUUCCAAGCAAAUGAGAUACUCCCGAACUUACCGAACACAUGAUCUCGACAGAGCCACUCGACAUUUUAUCGCAGACCAAAACUAUUCUCUACUGCAAUUCCCCCUCCACCAUCCUCAGAAGAAAUUGCGGAUAAUAAUACCUUCGGUGUCGAGGGUCUCCCUUACGGGCCUCCUUUCUCUUCCUCACACACAUAAUUUAAAAUGGUCAGUUUUGUCAACAUCCGGACCACCUAGUGAUCUUUUUAUAAUACGUAAAAAAAACUCGAAAGCAUCACUUUUGGUAGGAUAUACAAAGUUUAAUAUUGGGUCCGAACCUGUUAUUAUUAAUGAAUUAUCAAGGAGACUACAUCAAACUAGAUGUUCUUCACAGGGCAGUCGACAGCACUAUUCCUUACUUCCACUUAAAACUGGUGCGUUUUUAGGAUUUUUGGCCGUUACAAAUUAGAAAUUAUUCCUGAAGUUUGAACUGAACAUUUUACCAGUAGCAAGUAACGACCGCGAAAGUUACUUGCUACAUAUGCUGAAAAUCUCCGUACUACGAAGCGCGCUACAGAAGUUUUUAGAAUGGGGAAGACAAACUCAUAUUUUUUUCAAGAAGGCUUUAUUAUUUGUAACGAUAAAACGAUGUUUUCCAACGUUUUGGCUGCUUCUGUUCAGUUUCAGGGUCUUCCCUUCACCUUUCUCUUAAUAUUCGGGAACAGAAAAACAAGAAGGGGAGAACAAGAAGACACAAAAAGUCAAGACUAUACGGCGGACUAGUCAUUAAUUCCACCUUUUCACCAGUCAAAUUCCAUCGAAUCAGAAAUUUGUUAAUUUUGAUAAGAUAUGUGUUGCGCACAGAUGACUGAGAGCACCGCUUAUCUAAAACGCCGCCACCGAGACACGUUCCUGUUUGUUAACCUGUUGUUAACCUAUUGCUAACUACACACGGUUAAAUUAAGGCCUUUCCGGCGACGUACGUCGUAUCCAUCACCAUAUGGAUGCAUUAGUCAAUAUGACGGUUCUGAACGAGUCUACAUAGACAAAGCUUCCUUAAAUCGCGUUUAUAUUUGCAUCUUAUUGUGUUUGUUGGGCUGCAGUUUUAAAAUGGUAGCUAAAUAAAAAGUUGCUCCUGAUUUACAGUGUAAAAGCUAUGGCAUUUUACCAGCAACUAUAUUUUUAGAUCUACAACACUCACAUUCACUCUGCUCUACGGGUUGAGGUCCGUAACACUCAGAUUCAUGUACUGGCGCAAACGGCAUUUUACAGAUUGCCUAAAAUACCGUACUCAAUUUGCAAUGCGAAGUUCUGGUUACUUGGAUAGUUUGAAUUUAGUUUGCUGAUUGCCUUUAAUAUACAUAGUGAUUCAAAA